GCGCGUGGCUUAGUGGUUAGGGCAUUCGCCUCAUGAUCGUAAGAUCGUGAGUUCAAUUCCCGCCGACGCG
rfam:Octopus bimaculoides Scaffold228354_contig_3, whole genome shotgun sequence.